rnacentral:rRNA from 1 species
AAAUCCGUAGAGAUGUGAAGGAACACCGGAGGCGAAGGCGCCUGCCUGGACGACUAUUGACGCUGAGGCGCGAAAGCGUGGGGAGCAAACAGGAUUAGAUACCCUGGUAGUCCACGCCGUAAACGAUGAACACUAGUUAUUGGGGGUAUUGACUCCUUCAGUGACGCAGCUAACGCAUUAAGUGUUCCGCCUGGGGAGUACGGUCGCAAGACUAAAACUCAAACAAAUUGACGGGGGCCCGCACAAGCGGUGGAUUAUGUGGUUUAAUUCGAAGCAACGCGCAGAACCUUACCUAGGCUUGAACUCCUCAGAAUCCGGGGUAAUGCCUGGAGUGCCCGCAAGGAAAUUGAGUGAGAGGUGCUGCAUGGCUGUCGUCAGCUCGUGUUGUGAAAUGUUGGGUUAAGUCUCGCAACGAGCGCAACCCCUAUCGUCUGUUGCCAGCAUUAAGUUGGGCACUCUGACGAGACUGCCUGGGUUAACCAGGAGGAAGGUGGGGAUGACGUCAAGUCCUCAUGGCCCUUAUGUCUAGGGCUACACACGUAAUACAAUGGCGCGUACAGAGGGAAGCGAACUCGCAAGGGGGAGCAAAUCUCAAAAAGCGCGCCUCAGUUCGGAUUGGAGUCUGCAACUCGACUCCAUGAAGUUGGAAUCGCUAGUAAUCGGAGAUCAGCACGCUCCGGUGAAUACGUUCCCGGGCCUUGUACACACCGCCC